UAAUCAACUGAUCUUCAGAAUAUCCUAGUGAGUUUCAGAUAUGUUAGCCUCAUUUUACCAUCACAGGCAUAAAGAGAUUAGCGGUCCAAGACUGCACAGGAGAGCUGUGAUAGAAAUAGGAAUGUAGGCCUGUAUCCUGUGCAGUGACACCACCAUGAAAGUAUCCAAUCUUCUAUCAGGGUAAGAAGGCAAUAAUGCAGGGCUGUUGGUAUAACACACAGCCACAGGAGAGGUGCUGAUGAGAGAUCCUCACAGCAUAGGAUCAUUAAGGUUGGAAAAGACCUCUAAGAUCAUCUAGUCCAGCUAUCAGCUGGACAGUGCUAUAGUGUUAUGGUCAUGGUGGAGGAAGUCUGCCUUUCAGUCUUGACUUUUGGUUAAAGUUCACAUCAGGCUGGGUAGAUUUCUGCGCAGUUCCCAGCUGAGUCACCAGAGAGGGGCCCGCCUUCAUCAUGGAUCAAUUUGAUUUCAAGCCCUGACAAAUACCCAGCUUCAAGACGGGGGACAAACUGUAAUGUGCUUUAUGAGAACACAAGGAAAUGAUGAAAAGUUCAAGAGUGACAGCUUGAAGUUCUGUAUGCAUACAAAAAGGACAACGUGAAUAAUGUCAGCAUGCACUUCCCCUUCCCUUCAGGAGCUCCAGAAUAUUUUAGAUGUGUAAAAAGAAUGUACUACUGUGACCUGACAUUACAAGUAUUUGAGGGGCAAAACCACAGCACUUCUAUAUUGACAGAUCACAUACUCUUAAUGCUGAGAUAUAUUUAUCUAUCUAGUACUCUAAGAUGCUGAAGGGGUAGGAUGUGCUUGAGAUAAAAAUAUGUUGGUACUGUUGAAUCAUACCAAAAACUUAACUUAAAAGACCUUCCUCUGACAAAAGCAACAACAACAAAACUGAAACAUAAAAUAUGCUAGACCUUCUUAUUUAAAUAGUAUUUGAAUUGAGCCAUUCUGACUACAAAGGCUUGAAGCCUGGAUACAGCCCUGAACUAAUUUCCUGCCUUUUGCUUUUGUUUGUCAGUUAACGUCAUACAGAUCAUGUCAUAUAAAUGAAGCUGAACACUGUUUAGGUCUUAGUGUUAGCAAACAAGAAAUCAUGAUUUGAUUCUUGCAUUCUGUGCCUCUGUCCUUGAGCCAACUCUGUGUGCUUUGUGCUUGCUACAGCACUGCACGUAUAACUGAUUGUUGGUAAUACUGAAAAUGACAUGCAUAUUGAAAUGCUUGCAAGACUGAAGUUUUUAACAUAAAAUAAAUGAGUACUUUGCUUUUGGGUUUCUUUGUUUGUUUUGUUUUGUUUUUUUGGCUGAAGAGUUGAGAGCAUUUUAUCUUAGGCCAACUGGAAAGUUACCUUUCAUUUCCUUCUCCCCCCCAAUAUUGUUUGUUUAAAGUGUUUUUACUUUUUUAUACAAGUCAAAUUAAAUUUAGAGAUAAAGAGCUGUUUUAAACUGAAAAUCAGAAUAUUUCAUACUGGAAGUGCUUAAAUCAUUAGAAG
ensembl:lncRNA